rnacentral:rRNA from 1 species
UACAUGGGGUGCAAACGUUGCUCGGAAUUAUUGGGCGUAAAGCGCGCGUAGGCGGUUACUUAUGUCGGAUGUGAAAGCCCUCGGCCUUAACUGAGGAAGUGCAUUCGAAACUGGGUAGCUAGAGUACUAAAGAGGGUCGCGGAAUUCCCGGUGUAGAGGUGAAAUUCGUAGAUAUCGGGAGGAACACCGGUGGCGAAGGCGGCGACCUGGGUAGAUACUGACGCUGAGGCGCGAAAGCGGUGGGGAGCAAACAGGG